rnacentral:rRNA from 1 species
AUUGAACGCUGGCGGCAUGCCUUACACAUGCAAGUCGAACGGCAGCACGGACUUCGGUCUGGUGGCGAGUGGCGAACGGGUGAGUAAUAUAUCGGAACAUACCUUGUAGUGGGGGAUGACUAUCCGAAAGGAUAGCUAAUACCGCAUACGCUCUAAGGAGGAAAGUGGGGGAUCGCAAGACCUCAUGCUAUAAGAGUGGCCGAUAUCUGAUUAGCUAGUUGGUGAGGUAAAGGCUCACCAAGGCGACGAUCAGUAGCUGGUCUGAGAGGACGACCAGCCACACUGGAACUGAGACACGGUCCAGACUCCUACGGGAGGCAGCAGUGGGGAAUUUUGGACAAUGGGGGCAACCCUGAUCCAGCAAUGCCGCGUGAGUGAAGAAGGCCUUCGGGUUGUAAAGCUCUUUUGUCAGGGAAGAAACGGUUGUGGCUAAUAUCCAUGGCUAAUGACGGUACAUGAAGAAUAAGCACCGGCUAACUACGUGCCAGCAGCCGCCGUAAUAC